rnacentral:rRNA from 1 species
AUUGAACGCUGGCGGCAGGCCUAACACAUGCAAGUCGAACGAGUGGCGGACGGGUGAGUAAUGUCUGGGAAACUGCCUGAUGGAGGGGGAUAACUACUGGAAACGGUAGCUAAUACCGCAUACCAUCAGAUGUGCCCAGAUGGGAUUAGCUAGUUGGUGGGGUAACGGCUGACCAAGGCGACGAUCCCUAGCUGGUCUGAGAGGAUGACCAGCGACGCUGGAACUUAGGCACGGUCCAGACUCCUACAGGCGGCAGCCGUGGAGAAUAUUUCCAAAUGGCGGCAAGCCUGAUACAGCCAAUCCGCGUGUAUGAAGAAGGCCUUCGGGUUGUAAAGUACUUUCAGCGGGGAGGCGUUACCCGCAGAAGAAGCACCGGCUAACUCCGUGCCAGCAGCCGCGGUAAUAC